CAGGGAGACAACAAAAUGUUUAAUAUUAUUAUUUUGUCACCUUAGGUCGAUCGGUAUCUCACGUUUUUAAUUUAUUAAAAAUUUCAUUUCCUAAGUUUUUCUAGGUCACACCCAUUAUUUUUCCUGGGCCAUUAGCUCAGGUGGUUAGAGCGCACCCCUGAUAAGGGUGAGGUCCCUGGUUCAAGUCCAGGAUGGCCCAUAUCUCUAUGUUGGGGGUAUAGCUCAGUUGGUAGAGCGCCUGCUUUGCAAGCAGGAUGUCAGCGGUUCGAGUCCGCUUACCUCCACUGAUUACCACCUCUUCCAUAACCGGUAGAAAGGAAAUGUUUUGAGUUGUGAUCAUUAUUCUGAACGAAUCUAGCUUCCUAAUGAAAUCAUUAAGAUGCUGGACUCAUUGAAUUAAUUUCAUUGUUUUCAGAGAACCUUGACAACUGCAUAGAUUAUUUUUAAAGACAAUAAGCAUCUUUAAUGAUGCAGAUUUAUUAUUUGUGCGAAUGCAUUAAUAACAAUUCUAUUAAGCUGAUGCUUCAAUUAUUGAAGUUAUU
rnacentral:tRNA from 1 species